CAAAUGGUACCCCGGAAACAAUAUAAAACUGUUUACGUAACGUUAUCUAGCUAACUGUAGACUAACUUGCACGAAAUACAAUACGAGUAAAAUACCAAAAGAAGCCUUAGCUUUACGAGACUCCAAGAGUGGAACCAUGGAAGUGGUGCGGUUAUUUACAGACCUACUAGCAGUGCACAGACAGCAGCUACAAGCCCUGACUGUACAGGGAGAGAUCCAGACUCUAUGGUACAGUUACUGGAGAAGGAGGUGCUCAGGAGAAUGGAGCCCAAUGUGAAGCUGGAGGAAGUGGAGGAUCAAGCCUGAGCCCAGUCAGGGCAGAACAGAGACUACAGCAGCAGGGCUUCAGCUCUAUAAGGUACGACCCAGAGAGACCGCCCAGGGAGCUGGGGAAAGGGCUGGAGAGUGCUGCCCAUUACUGUCUCCGAGGAGGACAGCUGUGGAUGUGGUGAGGUGUGUGGCCCUGCAGAGUUCUGUAUCCCUUCUCCCCAAAGACGUUGGAGACUGAGUGCUGAAACAGUUCCCCCAGGAGAUGGAGGAAACUAUCUGCAUGGCUAAGGAGUACCUGAACAACACACCUGGGGAGUAGAGUAGUGAGAUGGACAACCACUCUGAUGGAGAGGGGUACUCUGUAGACCAACAGAGAGAAGAAACAGCAGGACAUGCAGAACCUAAAGUUAACUGUGAGAAGAUUAAAGUCACAGGACUGUGCCCAGGGUUGUUUCUGAAGAGGAUAGAUGUGUCGAGUCUGCCUGUACUUUAGUUUCAAUAUAGAUGCCAGACAUCUGAUGACAUUUACAGUGAGGAUAGGAGACUUGAUGGGGAAGAUGAUUUUGCUGAACAUGAGGACUGGGUUAAGGAGGAGAUAAAAUACAAUAGCCAGUCUGAAGUAAAGGUUGAGAUCGGGUCAGCCUCUGAGAUGGGACAGUCUAUUGACAUGGCUAGAAAUACUGAGAAGGUUGAGAGGGGUCAGCUAAGAAACAUAGCAAAUCAGAUGCCUGUCUCUGGGAGGGCCAAGAGAUGUGUAUCUGCCCAUCAUCUCCUCGUCCAGCCCUAACACCGCUGAGAGAGACCCUCUCCUACCUGAAACGUAAAAACAAAAGAUCCCUCCCAUAGACCAAGCCACUGCUGUCCUGACUGUGGUAAGAACUACAAACAGGCUGACUUUGUCAGUAAACACAGUUGCAGUGCCUUCCCUAAAUUCCACUGACUGUGACCAAACCUUUACUUCUCAGACAUGCCUGACCCACCACCCCAGAAUCAAUAAUACGGUUGUGGGCUGCCCUGAGUGUGGAAAGCAGUUCAGGGACAAGUGUAAUCAGAAAUCUUACGAGGACCCACACAGGUGAGACCACUUAUACAUGUAUAGACUGCGGGGACGUCUGUUUUCAGCUGAAAGGGCAGCAACAUCUACACAGAAAAAGGCCAUUCCGCUGCAGUGUGUGUGGGAGGGCUUCCAUCACAGCCACAACCUGACAAAACACAAGCUUCUUCACUCCCAGGCAAAGCCCUUCCUCUGUACCCGCUGUGGAAAGAGCUUUAACCUCAAUGACAAGAUGCUGAGGCAUCUGAGGACGGUGCACAAUGAAAGCAUGCUCCCUUGGAUGUGGGACAGCGGAAGGGCAUCUUCCCCUAACCCUGCCUUGUUAAUAAUGCUUACAUCUCAGAUCCUUUCAACUGCUUUAGUCCCAAACCAGCUAACUAAAUUACUCCAUAUGUUCAACAAUAAACAUUUAACAUCA